AAAAAGAUCGAUGCAGUCAACAAAGAAUUGAAACCAUUAGGGAAUACCUGCCAGAAAAAGGAAAGUGAAUACAAGGAAGCCCUGGAGGCGUUUAACGA